rnacentral:lncRNA from 1 species
GUAGUUCCCCUACAGAGGGAUAAAGGACUAGCCUAACCAGAUAACAGAGGGAGACACAACACUAGGGAGACUACGACUCGAGCCUAGAUGUUAUCAUGCAAAUCAUCCCUAAGUUAAGGUUUCUAGCUAACUGGCACAGGAGCCAGCCUAUCCUAAUCAGACUUGCACAGGAAGCAAGCCACACACACACUUAACUUGCACAGGAAGCAA